rnacentral:rRNA from 1 species
GACAGAGGUGCCAAGCGUUAGGCGGAAUCACUGGGCUUAAAGCGUGUGUAGGCGGAAUGGUAAGUACCUUGUGAAAUCCCACGGCUCAACCGUGGAACUGCUUGGUAUACUGCUUUUCUUGAGCCACUUAGGGGCAACCGGAACAAACGGUGGAGCGGUGAAAUGCGUAGAUAUCGGAAGGAACGCCGGUGGCGAAAGCGGCGUGCUGGACCUCUUCUGACGCUGAGGCGCGAAAGCCAGGGGAGCAAACGGG